UACGUAGGGGGCUAGCGUUGUCCGGAAUCAUUGGGCGUAAAGCGCGCGUAGGCGGCCAGAUAAGUCCGGUGUGAAAGUCACAGGCUCAACCUGUGAAUGCCGCUGGAAACUGCCUGGCUAGAGUCCGGAAGGGGCGAGUGGAAUUCCUGGUGUAGCGGUGAAAUGCGCAGAUAUCAGGAGGAACACCAAUGGCGAAGGCAGCUCGCUGGAACGGUACUGACGCUGAGGCGCGAAAGCGUGGGGAGCGAACAGG
rnacentral:rRNA from 1 species